rnacentral:rRNA from 1 species
GACGUAGGGCGCGAGCGUUGUCCGGAUUUAUUGGGCGUAAAGAGCUCGUAGGCGGCUUGUCGCGUCGACCGUGAAAACUUGGGGCUCAACCCCAAGCCUGCGGUCGAUACGGGCAGGCUAGAGUUCGGUAGGGGAGACUGGAAUUCCUGGUGUAGCGGUGAAAUGCGCAGAUAUCAGGAGGAACACCGGUGGCGAAGGCGGGUCUCUGGGCAUUAACUGACGCUGAGGAGCGAAAGCAUGGGGAGCGAACAGG